rnacentral:rRNA from 1 species
UACGGGGGGGGCAAGCGUUGUUCGGAAUUACUGGGCGUAAAGGGCGCGUAGGCGGCCUGCUAAGUCACACGUGAAAUCCCUCGGCUCAACCGGGGAACUGCGUGUGAUACUGGCGGGCUCGAAUUCGGGAGAGGGAUGUGGAAUUCCAGGUGUAGCGGUGAAAUGCGUAGAUAUCAGGAGGAACACCGGUGGCGAAGGCGGGUCUCUGGGCCGAUACUGACGCUGAGGAGCGAAAGCGUGGGGAGCGAACAGG